GGGCUGGCCUUAGCCCAGCGGUUCCUUCGAGUCUGGCUUCCCCACAGCCCGGAGGGUUCGAGAUCCACGGGCGCUCUCCAGUCCUUAA
ensembl:misc_RNA Vault Vault RNA